GAUGAACGCUAGCGGCAGGCUUACCCCCUGCAAGUCGAGGGGUAUGGUUCUUCGGAGCCAGAGACCGGCGCACGGGUGCGUAACGCGUAUGCAAUCUACCUUUUCCAAAGGGAUAGCCCAAAGAAAUUUGGAUUAAUACCUUAUAGUAUUAUUGAGUGGCAUCAUUUAAUAAUUAAAGAUUUAUCGGUAAAAGAUGAGCAUGCGUCCCAUUAGCUAGUUGGUAUGGUAACGGCAUACCAAGGCAACGAUGGGUAGGGGUCCUGAAAGGGAGAUCCCCCACACUGGUACUGAGACACGGACCAAACUCCUACGGGAGGCAGCAGUGAGGAAUAUUGGACAAUGGGCGCAAGCCUGAUCCAGCCAUGCCGCGUGCAGGAUGACGGUCCUAUGGAUUGUAAACUGCUUUUAUACGGGAAGAAACCCUGGCUCGUGAGCCAAAUUGACGGUACCGUAGGAAUAAGGAUCGGCUAACUCCGUG
rnacentral:rRNA from 1 species